rnacentral:pre_miRNA from 1 species
UCUCAUGGAUGAACAAAGAAAUUGGUCUCUUGAGAUGGAAUCUACUCCUGAUGAAGAUUCUGUGAA